UAUGUGAUCGUCUCUCGCAUAUCAAUAAGCGGAGGAAAAGAAACUAACAAGGAUUCCCCUAGUAACGGCGAGUGAAGCGGGAAGAGCUCAAAUUUGAAAUCUUAAAGGGUUUCCCUUUACGAAUUGUAGUUUAAAGAAGUGUUUUCUGUUGAGGUUUUGGUAAAAGUUCUUUGGAAUAGGACAUCAUAGAGGGUGAGAAUCCCGUAUUUGACCUUUACUUUCAACUUUGUGAUACACUUUCAAAGAGUCGGAUUGUUUGGGAAUGCAGUCCAAAAUGGGUGGUAAAUUUCAUCUAAAGCUAAAUAUUGGCGAGAGACCGAUAGCGAACAAGUACCGUGAGGGAAAGAUGAAAAGAACUUUGAAAAGAGAGUUAAACAGUACGUGAAAUUGUCAAAAGGGAAGCGUUUGACACCAGUGUUGUUUUUCUGAAAAUCAAUUAAAGAACUGUUUAUGCUAAGCUGUUUAGACUUUAUCAGCUAUCUGUUUAGUUUUGAGCUUUUCUUUAAUGCACUUUUCAGUUAACAAGUCAACAUCAAUUUCCUUUUGCUGUAAAAAAGCUUGAGGAAGGUGGCUUGAGAUUCGUCUUAAGUGUUUAUAGCCUCUUGCCUAUGCAGUCGGAGAGAUUGAGGUCUGCAGCGUAGAUCCUUCGGGGCUAAAUGCAUUUGUGCUAAGUUAUAGCAUUUUAUAGACAACUUGUUGACUAUGAUUUGUCUUGUAGCUUACUCGCUUAUGUUAUUUUACCUACGCUUAGGAUGUUGACACACGCGCGUGCUCG
rnacentral:rRNA from 1 species